rnacentral:rRNA from 1 species
GGGUUGUGAGGUUAAGCGACUAAGCGUACACGGUGGAUGCCCUGGCAGUCAGAGGCGAUGAAGGACGUGCUAAUCUGCGAUAAGCGCCGGUAAGGUGAUAUGAACCGUUAUAACCGGCGAUUUCCGAAUGGGGAAACCCAGUGUGACUCGUCACACUAUCAUUAACUGAAUCCAUAGGUUAAUGAGGCGAACCGGGGGAACUGAAACAUCUAAGUACCCCGAGGAAAAGAAAUCAACCGAGAUUCCCCCAGUAGCGGCGAGCGAACGGGGAGGAGCCCAGAGCCUGAAUCAGCAUGUGUGUUAGUGGAAGCGUCUGGAAAGGCGCGCGAUACAGGGUGACAGCCCCGUACACAAAAGCGCAUGUGUUGUGAGCUCGAUGAGUAGGGCGGGACACGUGGUAUCCUGUCUGAAUAUGGGGGGACCAUCCUCCAAGGCUAAAUACUCCUGACUGACCGAUAGUGAACCAGUACCGUGAGGGAAAGGCGAAAAGAACCCCGGCGAGGGGAGUGAAAAAGAACCUGAAACCGUGUACGUACAAGCAGUGGGAGCCCCACCACUAAGCCAGUGGUGAACUCCACAUACGCAUCCUUUGCUGAAGGUGCGGUUAACGGAGCGCAAGCGACGUUCAACCUCAAAAGAAGCAGAGGGGGCUUAGUGGUGGGGUGACUGCGUACCUUUUGUAUAAUGGGUCAGCGACUUAUAUUCUGUAGCAA